rnacentral:lncRNA from 1 species
CUCAGAGAAGGUGGCUGACCCCAACCAUCCCAGGGUAAUACACACAGAUGGUGUCUCCUGCUCUGCCGCCUCCUUGUAAUCACCAAAUAGAGGCUGGUGAUUGGUGUUGGAAAAAGAAGCUGCAGGCUUUCUAACCAUCAGGCUUGCCUGGGGAUUGUUGCACAGAAGAAUAAGGGACUCGUUAAGUGAUAGAAAAGCAUUAAACAAAUAAUGGCUUCCAGAAAAAGCAGUACUCUCCUAGAAAAGCAAUUUCAGAUUCAACCCACUCUAAGAGAAAAAUCAAAUUGAUUAAAUCACUUUUCAAGAAAGAAAACAAAAAAAAGCUUGAAGCUGCUCAUGGUGGCCCAUGCCUGUAAUCCUAACACUCUGGGAGAUGGAGUCAAGAAGAUGAAAUAUUCAUGCAUUCAGAUGUUUGCUUGGGACCAGUGCUCUCCAGUAGAACUUCCUGCCAUGAUGAAAAAGUAUCUGUGCUGUCCAUGAUGAUAGCCACAAAAUACAUGGAGUAAUGGACCACUUCCACUGUGGCCAGUGCAACUGAGGGACUCAACUUCUAAUUUUAAUUAAUUUAAAAUUAAAUUGCCAUAUAUUUAAUGGUUCAAAUGUAUAUUAUAUUAAAUGUCAUAUACUUGAAAUUCAUUUUUCCUG